rnacentral:rRNA from 1 species
UACGUAGGGUGCGAGCGUUGUCCGGAAUUACUGGGCGUAAAGAGCUCGUAGGUGGUUUGUCGCGUUGUUCGUGAAAACCGGGGGCUUAACCCUCGGCGUGCGGGCGAUACGGGCAGACUUGAGUACUGCAGGGGAGAAUGGAAUUCCCGGUGUAGCGGUGAAAUGCGCAGAUAUCGGGAAGAACACCCGUGGCGAAGGCGGUUCUCUGGGACGGUACUGACGCUGAGACGCGAAAGCGUGGGGAGCGAACAGG